rnacentral:tRNA from 1 species
CGCCCCGUCGUUCAACGGCAGGACACCCGCCUCUCAAGCGGAUAACGGCGGGUUCAACUCCCCCCGGGGCGACCA